rnacentral:rRNA from 1 species
AUUGAACGCUGGCGGAAUGCUUUACACAUGCAAGUCGAACGGCAGCACGGGGGCUUGCUCCUGGUGGCGAGUGGCGAACGGGUGAGUGAUGUAUCGGAACGUACCCAGUCGUGGGGGAUAACUCUCCGAAAGGAGAGCUAAUACCGCAUACGUCCUGAGGGAGAAAGCGGGGGACCUAAGGGUAACUGAGGGCCUCGCGCGAUUGGAGCGGCCGAUAUCGGAUUAGCUAGUUGGGGGGGUAAAGGCUCACCAAGGCGACAAUCCGUAGCGGGUCUGAAAGGACGACCCGCCACACUGGAACUGAAACACGGUCCAAACUCCUACGGGAGGCAGCAGUGGGGAAUAUUGGACAAUGGGGGCAACCCUGAUCCAGCAAUACCGCGUGUGUGAAAAAGGCCUGAGGGUUGUAAAGCACUUUCAGUGGGGAGGAGGAUUGACAGGUUAAGAGCUAGUUAAUUGGACGUUACCCACAGAAAAAGCACCGGCUAACUACGUG